CUCCUUAAUCCAUCAACCCAAACCCGUUAAGAAAUGAACCGUGACCUUAUCAAUUGGACGAAGCACAAUGCACCGGGGAUCUUCUUCGCUCUUCUCCGCCCGAUCGCCUCUCCUGCUCCCCAUCGGCGGAGGUCAGGGGGAUUCCCUUCCUCUGGCCGGCCACUUCAUCUUCUUCAUCUCCUCCCAUCAACCUGCCACCAACACAAGUUGCCGAUGAAAACACCCAAGCUUCUUGCUCACCAAUCUCCACCGAUCUCCGCUACCACCGGAGGUCAAGGGGUUGCCCUUUCUCCGGUGAUCCUCCAUCUCCAUCCACAAGGUAAAGGGUUUCCCUACCUAGCCAUCCCUUCUUCCGAUCUUCGCUGACGCCAUCCUCCAUCCGGCGAUUUCUUCUCUGCCUCAUCACCACCGAGCUUUCAUCUGAUCAGAUCUUCACCUCUACUCUGAUCAGUGUUUCCCAUCAGAUCUGACUUCAUCACAGCAGCUUCUCCAUCAAAUCCGAUCAUCUCCGAGAUCCAUCUUCUAUAGCUCCGAUCAACCCUUCAAGCAUCCAACAGCAACUUCAAGAUUGGUCUAUUUUCUUUAAUUGUUGAUUGUGUCUUUGGUUGUUAUGUUUGAAUGAGUUCUUGAUGAUCGAUUCUAAUUAAAUGCAAGUUCCCAUGUUCUAGAUUUCCUACAUUAGGCUUACAGCAAUUUACUAAAGGGCGUACGUGGUAUAGUGGAUUUACCAAAAGGAGCAUCACCGUUUUGUAUUUACCAAAAGGCGCAGGUAAGUGAUGUGUAAUACCCAAUAUACCCCUCCCGCCAAUCUACUCUGUUCAGCCGUCAUUUCCCAGGCAUCCGAACCACUUUUUGACUUUGAAUUUUAAAAAAAAAUCGAUCAUUUUUCUACCUCCCUUCAAAUCGUUCAUGGCUCGAUGUUAUUCGUAACACUACGAGUGCAGCUCCAAUUCUGUGGAGAAAUCUUCCCUCUUGUGAAACCCUAGGUUAGUGACGUCGAGUCUUUCUCAAGCGGCGACAUCAAGCAUUUCGGUGCUUAAAAACAGGACUGUUCGUGAGGAACCAGGGAAGGGUUAUAGGGUUUACGUGAAUCAUCUCGUCUCAUAAUGGCGCAAAGAAGUCGAUCGGGUGUAUCAUCAUCCUCUUCACAUCAAUUAGCUGUAAAGGGUUCAGUUGAUGUUGGACAGAAACUGCAUUGGAACAGUGUCCUAGGUCACUUUAAAAGUUUUUUCAAACAUCCACGAAGAAAGGAACACAUCAAGGGUAUGUUAUUUUACAUGACCGACACAUAGCGCUGAUAAAACAGUCACCCUUUAGUAUUUUUUUGGGCAUACAAGAUAUGCAGCACAUCUGUGGGAUUUUGGUCAAUAUAUUUCAAAAUUGGGAUUCAAGUAGUCAAACCUUUAGAUUCUCAGGUACAAUAUAUAAUUUCGUAUUUUAAUCACAAAGUAGUUGUAUGGUAAAAUAAAAUCUUUUGCUAAACAUGGGAAUGAUACGAUAUCAUAUCAGGGCCAACGUUGGGCCUGAUACGAUGCUAUAUCAGGCCCAAUGUGGGCCUGAUAUGAUGCCAUAUCAGGCCCAACGUGGGCCUGAUACGAUGCCAUAUCAGGCCCAACGUGGGCCUGAUAUGAUACAAUAGCAGGCCUAACGUGUGCUUGAUAUGACAUCGUAUCAUGUCCACAGUGUUGCUAAUACUUUUGUAUUUGUUCGUAGAAGUCAAAUAAUCAUUUAACUUGGUCAGGGGUUCCAGUUGGCUUCAUAAGAAGAGACAUUUCAUUGCUGCUUGGUAUUACAGAUCGAGGAGCUUCAAUUCUGAUGAAUUCUACUAAAGCAUCUGGUGACCUCUUUCUAACAUACUUCUCAAG